rnacentral:rRNA from 1 species
UACGUAGGGUGCAAGCGUUAAUCGGAAUUACUGGGCGUAAAGCGUGCGCAGGCGGUUAUGUGAGACAGAUGUGAAAUCCCCGGGCUUAACCUGGGAACUGCAUUUGUGACUGCAUAGCGUAGAGGUACGGUAGAGGGGGGAUGGGAAAUUCCGCGUGUAGCAGUGAAAUGCGUAGAUAUGCGGAGGAACACCGAUGGCGAAGGCAAUCCCCUGGGCCUGCACAUGACGC